UACGUAGGUGGCGAGCGUUGUCCGGAUUUACUGGGCGUAAAGGGAGCGUAGGCGGACUUUUAAGUGAGAUGUGAAAUACUCGGGCCCAACUUGAGUGCUGCAUUUCAAACUGGAAGUCUAGAGUGCAGGAGAGGAGAAUGGAAUUCCUAGUGUAGCGGUGAAAUGCGUAGAGAUUAGGAAGAACACCAGUGGCGAAGGCGAUUCUCUGGACUGUGACUGACGCUGAGGCUCGAAAGCGUGGGGAGCAAACAGG
rnacentral:rRNA from 1 species